AUGACUGCCGGAGAGCAUGCUGGAAGUCGUAGUUCUCCGAGAGAGGGAAACGUGUGUGAGGGGCGAGCCCAGGCCUUAAGAAAUUCAGCCCAGGGCCCCGCAUGGGUUCUUCAGCUGGGCGGCGCUAUAAAUAGCCGCAAAGGACCCUCCCUCCUUCCCUGCGUGCUGGCGUCACUUCCUCCCCGGCCGGACCUGGCCCCGCUCAUUCUCUUUAGUGUUUGCCCUGUGUCUGCCGCCGCCGCGACUCGCUCGCUUCCCCCCCUUACCCUGGACCCCCCUUUCCUGGGAGCUACCAAUGGACUGAGCCGCCCGAAAGCCCGCCCGCCAACACGAGCCGGCCCGGGAGCCCCAGCCCAGAAAAACCACCAGUCGCACCUUUUCCUCUCCGGAUUCAUGUGCUGACCGCUCGUUUCUUUUGCCUUCCUCUUCUUCCUCCUCCUCACCACCACCUUCUAUUUCUGGGCUUCCUGAGGGCAUCUGCUUGGCCGCUGUGUGUGGGGAGAGAGAGAGAGUUAGGGUGGGAACGAGAUGGGGGGCCUUUGGUCCGAUCCGUCAGGGCUGGUCUUAUAUUCCUGGAAGUCAGUGUGCCUGUUCGGAUCUGCACUGUGCACAGAAGUCCAUGUGGGGAGGAGGAGGAGGAAAAGGAAAGGAUCUGUGGCAGUCACUCCUCUGUUUGUGCAAAAUGGCAUUAAAAAAAACAGGUAAGUGGUAACUCAUCACUAUAGACCAGGCUGCUUCACCAUCUGUGGCCUGCUGGCUACCUUGCUUCUCCCUAAACUGUUGAUGUUUUGCAGCCAAUGUAUGUU
rnacentral:lncRNA from 1 species